CUGGCUCAGGAUGAACGCUAGCGGCAGGCCUAAUACAUGCAAGUCGAACGGUAGAUUACUUUCGGGUAGUUGAGAGUGGCGAACGGGU
rnacentral:rRNA from 1 species